GCGAGGGGCGUGUUUGUGAAAUGCUAGCAGCACCUUCAGCGUUUUCUUUGACGCCUUUGAGUCAUUAGCCAUCAGUUCCCGCCUGGCGAGUGGCGCUGUGCUCCUGUGGGUCGCACUGGUCUGAAGGGGUGAAAUUGCCACCCAACUCCACUUUCUGCAAAGGAGUCAGGCCCGAAGGCUCGCAGGGCGUUCAUCUUUGGCUUCUGGAGGGUCCUCCCCACCCCAUGUUCUUUCCAGGGUCCCCUGUCCACCGGUCAUUCUGCCCUGCUGCCUCCAGAGCCUCCCUCCCAGAGCUCACUGCUCCGCAGCGCUCUCCAGGGUGACCCAGGGUCUGCGGCAGGGGAGGGCAGGGCAGGGGAGGGCCGCAGAGCCCAGGCCCAGGAACUGGCAGCGAGGGCAGGCGCAGGGGCUGUGUCUGGCUGCUGGGCGGUGGCUCUGGGGAGGCAGCACAGUGGGCUUUGUCUUGCUCUGCAGAGGAGGAAAGCAGGCCAGGACACACUCACACUGACCCCCCAUUCACACGCACACUGACACACACAGACACCCUCCCACUCCCACACUAACACACUCUCGCACACAGUUACACUAACACAUCAUCGCGUACACACUCACCCUCUCCCCCACACUCACACAUACUAACACACUCACAAGUUUGCACACACACACAACCCCUCCAUGCCAACUCACACACAUACCCACUCACACCCCCACGAUCACACUUACACAUGCAACACUCAUUCACACACAUUCACAUAUCCAUAGUCUCACACACUCACAAACACACAAAACACACACUCACACACACCCCACACCAUCACACACUCACACCCCCACUCAUACACUCACACAAACUCAUAAGCACACUCACACCCCGUACAUCACACAACAUACAUUCUCACACUAACACAGUCACAGCACACACACACCCGCACACACUUAUACGCACUCACUCACACAGCACAUGCUGGGCACACACACACUCAUAC
rnacentral:lncRNA from 1 species